AUUGAACGCUGGCGGCAGGCCUAACACAUGCAAGUCGAGCGGAUGAAGGGAGCUUGCUCCUGGAUUCAGCGGCGGACGGGUGAGUAAUGCCUAGGAAUCUGCCUGGUAGUGGGGGAUAACGUCCGGAAACGGGCGCUAAUACCGCAUACGUCCUGAGGGAGAAAGUGGGGGAUCUUCGGACCUCACGCUAUCAGAUGAGCCUAGGUCGGAUUAGCUAGUUGGUGGGGUAAAGGCCUACCAAGGCGCCGAUCCGUAACUGGUCUGAGAGGAUGAUCAGUCACACUGGAACUGAGACACGGUCCAGACUCCUACGGGAGGCAGCAGUGGGGAAUAUUGGACAAUGGGCGAGAGCCUGAUCCAGCCAUGCCGCGUGUGUGAAGAAGGUCUUCGGAUUGUAAAGCACUUUAAGUUGGGAGGAAGGGCAGUAAGUUAAUACCUUGCUGUUUUGACGUUACCAACAGAAUAAGCACCGGCUAACUUCGU
rnacentral:rRNA from 1 species